AUUUCGAAGACAACUAGGAUGUUGGCUCAGAAGCAGCCACACAUUCAAAGAGUGCGUAAUAGCUCACUAGUCGAGAGGUCCUGCGCCGAAAAUGUCCGGGGCUAAAACACAACACCGAAGCUUAGGAAUUCUUUUGAAUUGGUAGAGGAGCAUUGAAGACGGAACGAAGCCAUACCGUAAGGAAUGGUGGACUGUCUUGAAGAGAGAAUGCCGGAAUGAGUAGCGAGAUUGAAGUGAGAAUCUUCAAGGCCGAAUAUCUAAGGUUUCCAGGGUAAAGCUGAUCUGCCCUGGGUAAGUCGGGGCCUAAGGCAAGGUCGAAAGACGUAGUCGAUGGAUAACAGGUUGAAAUUCCUGUACUGCAUCAAAUCAGAAAUGUGGGGACACAUGAGGGAAGCAUGAGCCGGAAAAGGAAAGUCCGGUACAAGCGCAGCAGAGGACAGAUAGGCAAAACCGUCUGUCAACUCGAGGGCGUGAUGUGGAGCGAACCAAAGUAGCGAAGCAUGUGGAGCUUGUGUCGAGAAAAGCCGCUAUAGUGUUUGAUGUACCCGUACCGUAAACCGACACAGGUGGAUGAGGAGAGAAUCCUAAGGCCGGCGGGAGAAGCAUUGUUAAGGAACUCGGCAAAAUGACCCCGUAACUUCGGGAGAAGGGGUGCCCACUGCAGGGUGGGCCGCAGAGAAUAGGCUCAAGCAACUGUUUAGCAAAAACACAGGUCUAUGCGAAACCGAAAGGUGAGGUAUAUGGGCUGACGCCUGCCCGGUGCUGGAAGGUUAAGAGGAGAGGUUAGCGCAAGCGAAGCUUUGAAUUUAAGCCCCAGUAAACGGCGGCCGUAACUAUAACGGUCCUAAGGUAGCGAAAUUCCUUGUCGGGUAAGUUCCGACCCGCACGAAAGGCGUAAUGAUUUGGGCACUGUCUCGACAAUGCACCCGGUGAAAUUGAAAUACCAGUGAAGAUGCUGGUUACCUGCGCCAGGACGGAAAGACCCCAUGGAGCUUUACUCUAGCUUGAUACUGGGAUUCGGUAUUGCAUGUACAGGAUAGGUGGGAGACUAAGAGGUGAUGACGCCAGUUGUCACGGAGUCGAUGUUGGGAUACCACCCCUGCAGUACUGGGUUUCUAACCUGCGGCCGUGACCCGGCCGGGGGACAAUGUCUGGUGGGGAGUUUGACUGGGGCGGUCGCCUCCGAAAGAGUAUCGGAGGCGCUCAAAGGUUCCCUCAGAAUGGUUGGAAACCAUUCGAAGAGUGCAAAGGCAGAAGGGAGCUUGACUGCGACACCGACGGGUGGAGCAGGUACGAAAGUAGGACUUAGUGAUCCGGUGGUAUAAAGUGGGAUUGCCAUCGCUCAACGGAUAAAAGCUACCCUGGGGAUAACAGGCUUAUCACUCCCAAGAGUUCACAUCGACGGAGUGGUUUGGCACCUCGAUGUCGGCUCAUCGCAUCCUGGGGCUGUAGCAGGUCCCAAGGGUUGGGCUGUUCGCCCAUUAAAGCGGUACGCGAGCUGGGUUCAGAACGUCGUGAGACAGUUCGGUCCCUAUCCGGCGUGGGCGUAGGAUAUCUGAGAGGAGCUGUCCUUAGUACGAGAGGACCGGGAUGGACUGACCUCUGGUGCACCGGUUGCAUUGCCAAAUGCAUAGCCGGGUAGCCAAGUCGGGACGGGAUAAACGCUGAAGGCAUCUAAGCGUGAAGCCCCCCUCAAGAUGAGAUAUCCCAUAACGUAAGUUAGUAAGACCCCUUGA
rnacentral:rRNA from 1 species